ACCAUCUUCCCAACACCAGCCACACUCUUACCCUUGACCCUCAAAAAUCAAACCAACAAAAAAAAAAAAAACAAAAAACUCACCCACCAUCCAUCAACGGCCACUGCCACCACCAUAUGAUGCCACAUUGCAAUCCAAAACCCAUUCCAAGAACCCCCAAACAAUCCCUCAAAACCCAGUAAAAACAAUGGUUUAUUACCUAUUUCAAAAUCAACAACCCAGGGCAAAGGCAAGAUCGACUAUGUACACCGGAGCCAACCACCGAGUCGAAACCAAGCUACAUGAGGUCCCACCAAGUGAGAGAUUUCUUCAUUUCAUUUUCAGAUUUUUCUUGCAUUUGAUCAACUCCCCGACUUCGUUGGAGCACCCAGAAGUCCAUCUUUGAGGCGAUACAGGGUAUUAGAGAGAGCUGAAAUGUAAGUUGACAAAUUCUAGAAGGUGGGUUCGGACUUCAAGGUAGAAAUCUUGUUUGUUGAUUCGUCAAUAUGAUCUAUCGGAGGCAGUGCUGACUGCAACAAAGGAUCCAUCCCAACGACACAUGGGUUGAGGAUAGUUGUUAAAUUUGGAACAAAAUCUUGGGAGAUUUUAAUUCCCAUCUGAGGUAGAAGUUUGGGUGGAUAAUGCUAUACGACCCAAGUUGGGUUACAAACUUGGGUAACAAAAUGACGUGUAGGGUUGAGAUUAAAAGGCAGUGGAUGGCUGUGAUUUAUUAACAGUAAAAAUUGGGUCAAAAAGGUGCCAAAACCAAAACCCGGUCUCUGCGUAAUGGAAGGAAGACGAAAUCAGGUCAGUGGAAGGCGCCAAAGACAUUUCCCCAUCUUCUACUACCUCACCUUGCAUUUCACGUCCUAAAAUCCACACUCAUGUUUCGUAGAAGAAAGGCAGCAAGUGCCAUGUCUGAUCUCCAUCUCCGGCAGUGGUCAAUCCGAUCUCCAUCUUGGACAGGUCCAGCUCCAUCUCCGGCAGUGGCAGUCCAAUCCCAUCUUCGACAGGUCCGGCUCCAUCUCCGGUUGUAGGUAUGUUCCAUUAAUUGCAAAAAUUAAUUUUAAACUCUGUUAUACUAGUGCCUGCAUUUUUUGUAUUCUAUAGACGAACAAUUUGGACGUCUUUUCAACAUUUUGUUUGUUCAAACAUUACAACCCUCUAGCUUACCUCAGACUUCAUGCUUAUUUGGCAUAUUUGGUCUCGAAAUUUAGUCCACUUGAGCUAGACUCUAUUAAGUUGACAUUUAGUUCCCAGUGUGAAAAUAAUACUCAUAUUUGACAUUUAGGAUUUUAUGAAUUGAGUAUUGUGUGCGGGGUUAUUGACUACUGUGAUUUUGAACUCAAUCUAAGCAAUUUCCUUGUCCUUUUUUUUUCCAAAUAACAGGUGAGCACAUAAGGUUUCUGGUGUCAAUAAAGUUUGAGGAGAAGAAUGUGGAAUACGACGUGGAAGACUGAGAAAGCUAAAGGAGAACAGUUGGAGAAGGAAAGCUUAUUUUGGGAUGUAAGGCAGAGGUUGUGUAUAUGUUUGGGAUCCAGUUGCUAACAGGGGAAUUUGGAUUUGGAUUUUGAUUGUGGUUUAAUAAAAGUUCCGAUAUGAAUGUCGAUGAGUAUUAUGUAAGAGCUGCUUAUGAAAAAGAAGUGAA
rnacentral:lncRNA from 1 species